rnacentral:rRNA from 1 species
UACGUAGGGUGCAAGCGUUGUCCGGAAUUAUUGGGCGUAAAGAGCUCGUAGGCGGUUUGUCGCGUCUGCUGUGAAAACUCGGGGCUUAACUCCGGGCCUGCAGUGGGUACGGGCAGACUAGAGUCCAGUAGGGGAGCGUGGAAUUCCUGGUGUAGCGGUGAAAUGCGCAGAUAUCAGGAGGAACACCAGCGGCGAAGGCGGCGCUCUGGGCUGGAACUGACGCUGAGGAGCGAAAGCGUGGGGAGCGAACAGG